UAUAUGUGCUGCUUUUACUGGUUAAUGAAUAAAGCUGCUGUUGGUCAGUGGCUUAAGAGAAUAUAGCCAGGCUGGAAGAGAUUAUCAAAGAGAAGUCACGUGGUUGCCUGCAGGAGACAGACGUGCUGGAACCUUGCUGGAAAAGUCCGCGCAGUUAAGAGCUGAAGCCCACCCUAGGCUGUACAGCAAGAUUCAGAUGCAGGAGUCCUUAGGGUGCCCUGGAUAUAUGGAGUGGCAGUCACCUCACUGUGAUUGGGAAGAGAG